rnacentral:rRNA from 1 species
CACUCCUACGGGAGGCAGCAGUGGGGAAUAUUGGACAAUGGGCGCAAGCCUGAUCCAGCCAUGCCGCGUGAGUGAUGAAGGCCCUAGGGUUGUAAAGCUCUUUCACCGGUGAAGAUAAUGACGGUAACCGGAGAAGAAGCCCCGGCUAACUUCGUGCCAGCAGCCGCGGUAAUACGAAGGGGGCUAGCGUUGUUCGGAUUUACUGGGCGUAAAGCGCACGUAGGCGGACUAUUAAGUCAGGGGUGAAAUCCCGGGGCUCAACCCCGGAACUGCCUUUGAUACUGGUAGUCUUGAGUUCGAGAGAGGUGAGUGGAAUUCCGAGUGUAGAGGUGAAAUUCGUAGAUAUUCGGAGGAACACCAGUGGCGAAGGCGGCCCACUGGCUCGAUACUGACGCUGAGGUGCGAAAGCGUGGGGAGCAAACAGGAUUAGAUACCCUAGUAGUCC